CCUCUUGACCCUGAAGAUCUUACUGAUCAGAUACUCGCAGGUUUACCAGAAGAUUACAAGCCGGUUAUUGAUGCUGUUAAUGGGAGAGACAAAACCAUAUCAUUCUCUGAGCUACAUGAGAAACUCCUAAAUCGAGA